ACUUGGCGAAAAAAGAAGAAUGAUAGGGUGCUGGUUAGCCUGUUGACCGAGCCCCCUUUCUUUUGUUCUCCCGUCGCCCCCUUCUUCACUCCCCAGAUUUCUUUCUUUUUCCCCUUUCUUUCUUCUCCUCACAUAGGGUUAGGGAUUUGAGAUGGAGACAUAGUUAUUGAAGCUGUGAAUCUGCGGGAAAGGAGAGCCUUCCCUCCUGGAGCUCGGUUGGAGGUAGGCUUGGCGCACAGCUAGCAGUGGCACUGGGCGCCUGAUCUGCAUGCGGUGGUCAGCAGCCUUGGGAGCUUGCAGAGGAGGCCACGCAGGGGGCGCACAGCUGAAGGUUCUAAGGGCAAAUACAACAGUGCAGACAACUGCUGUCUUUUUGUCUUAAACAGACAGCUGAACAAAUAGGUUGUACAAUGUAUUGUCUAUUUGGCUGUCUGCAGUGUGAUUAAUUUAUCCUUUGACAUACAAAUUCAUGGUGAUCUAGUGCAUAAUUGAUUUUUGUAGCCAUUUUGUUGCAUAGAUGACAGAAUGCACAAUACAUUCAAAUAAUUCACAUAAAUCUUAUAUAUAUAUAUAACAUAUUAAAUCAUAAAAUGUAUAUAAACAUUAAUUUGCAUGUAUUUUCUAACAAAUUUUAAGCCACCUAUACAUUAAAUCAUAAAAGGCAUAUAAAAUAACAAAAAACAUAGCAAACUUAUUUUCUCUUAUUGUACACAAAGAAAACAAAAGAUGAAAACAUGGUUUUUGCCAUUUUAUUAUUUUUCUGUAAUUUACUAGACAUUUCUCAAUUUUCAAGCAGUAAGUACAAAAUACAUUUAAACUUCUCAAGAGUAAAGGUUACAGUUUUGAAAUGUAAACAAAAUUUGAUUCAUAUUUUGUUGAAUCAAUACAUAAUUUAAUAUGCAUUUAAACACCCUAGCACAAAUAAAUUUAUAGAUAAAAACACAGGAUAAUAGCAUGGGUAUUCAUAUUUUUUAAAUGUAAAGCAUCACAAGAUAGAGCAAAAUAAAUUUGAGAUUAUUUGGACCUGUAUUUAUUUUACUAUGAAUUUCACCAAAUCAUAAACACACAAAUACUAAACAUUCAUUGCUUGUUAGCUUGUACUGUUCAUCUUCCCCGUGCAUCUCCAUCUCCCGUCAUUUCUCAUCACGGUUGAAGCCACGGAGCUCCCUGCAGCUAGCCAAAGUUCCAUGCCCACAGCUCACCUCUGGCCGAUUCCUCACGCCCCCGGCACCGCAACCUCCGCAGCUAUCUCCAUGGUCUAUCUAUUGGCCCAUCCGAGCCUCACCGCGAUGGGAAUUUCAGAUCUUGCAGCCAUCACUGACAAGCACCUUACCAUCGGGAGGCUAAACGCAAAAAUCCAUUGCAUAUCGACGGGUCGCGACGGCCCGUUGUACGUGCCCUAAGGGCCAGCGGUAGCAUUACUGGUGAGGGGCAGGGUGCAGACCAGUGCUGCGUCGACAGCAGCAGGUAGCCGUGAGCAGGUGAGCAACUUGGCGCUUUUCUUCUCCAUUCAGUUCAGUGUCCGCCAGCAGACUUGGCAGGCAGCGGCAGCACAGCCAGAGCAGCGGCAAUUUCAGCAAGCACACAAGAUGCUCGGGAAAAUUUCCAGCAAGUAUUUUUGUUGCACUUGUGUGUCUGCUUGGCUGUUUUGCAGGUCCCAACAAGCGCAUGCGUGUGUGGGGAAAUCCAUGGUGCAACACCGUUGAGUUGCAGCUAGUUCCGUCGACGCCCACCAAUUGUUCGAGGAAUUGCUGCACACAUGUUUUCCGUCGACGCCCACCUUUGCUAGUGCUAGUCUUUGCUGUGUUUAGCUAGUUGUUUUCAUUCUUUGCUCGUGUUAGUUGUCUUGUAGCUCUUGUUCCUACUAGCUUUUGUGUCUGCUGUCUAAAAGAAAACCAAAAUAAAAAUUAGUUUAGUUGUACUCAAGUUAGCUAGAUUUAAUUCCAGCUCUUCUAGCUUUUGUUUAUACGUGUACUAACUCUUGUUUCUCGAGUUCUUGAAGUUCUUUAUGGUGAUUUUUCUCU